rnacentral:rRNA from 1 species
CACCGCGGUUAUACGAGAGGCCCAAGUUGAUAACCACCGGCGUAAAAAGUGGCCGGUAUUAUACUCCACUAAAGCCAAACAUCUUCAAAGCCGUCAUACGCUCUUGAAGACAGGAAGUUCCUCUACGAAAGUGGCUUUAAAUGAUACACCCCACGAAAGCUAGGAAA